rnacentral:rRNA from 1 species
CUCGGAGUUUGAUCCUGGCUCAGGACGAACGCUGGCGGCGUGCUUUACACAUGCAAGUCGAACGGUAGAGGGGGCAACCCCUUGAGAGUGGCGAACGGGUGAGUAAUAUAUCGGAACGUGCCCAGUCGUGGGGGAUAACGUAGCGAAAGUUACGCUAAUACCGCAUACGAUCUACGGAUGAAAGCGGGGGAUCGCAAGACCUCGCGCGAUUGGAGCGGCCGAUAUCAGAUUAGGUAGUUGGUGAGGUAAAGGCUCACCAAGCCAACGAUCUGUAGCUGGUCUGAGAGGACGACCAGCCACACUGGAACUGAGACACGGUCCAGACUCCGUACGGGAGCAGCAGUGGGGAAUUUUGGACAAUGGACGCAAGUCUGAUCCAGCCCAUUCCCGCGUGCAGGA